rfam:Gossypium hirsutum cultivar TM-1 chromosome 14, whole genome shotgun sequence
UAUUAAAAUUUUUAUCCAUUUUUACUAUUAAAAACUGGCAUGAUUGAUCAAACAAUUACAUGUCAUAUGCCGUGUGUACCUUAUGCUGACAGACACAAAUUAACUUUUAAUAGUAAAAAUGGAUGAAAACCUUAACA